rnacentral:rRNA from 1 species
GAGUUUGAUCGUGGCUCAGGAUGAACGCUGGCGGCGUGCCUAAUACAUGCAAGUCGAGCGAACGGACGAGAAGCUUGCUUCUCUGAUGUUAGCGGCGGACGGGUGAGUAACACGUGGAUAACCUACCUAUAAGACUGGGAUAACUUCGGGGAAACCGGAGCUAAUACCGGAUAAUAUUUUGAACCGCAUGGUUCAAAAGUAAAAGACGGUCUUGCUGUCACUUAUAGAUGGAUCCGCGCUGCAUUAGCUAGUUGGUAAGGUAACGGCUUACCAAGGCAACGAUGCAUAGCCGACCUGAGAGGGUGAUCGGCCACACUGGAACUGAGACACGGUCCAGACUCCUACGGGAGGCAGCAGUAGGGAAUCUUCCGCAAUGGGCGAAAGCCUGACGGAGCAACGCCGCGUGAGUGAUGAAGGUCUUCGGAUCGUAAAAACUCUGUUAUUAGGGAAGAACAUAUGUGUAAGUAACUGUGCACAUCUUGACGGUACCUAAUCAGAAAGCC